GAAGUAAAAGUCGUAACAAGGUCUCCGUUGGUGAACCAGCGGAGGGAUCAUUAGCGAGUUAAUUACAAACUCCAAACCCAUGUGAACAUACCUUUUGUUGCCUCGGCAGGUCGUGAUGCGCGGCCGGACCGCCUACCCUGGAGCAGCUACCCUGGAGUAGCUACCCUGGAGUUGGCGCCGCCUACCCUGCAGCACGCAAACAGGCCUGCCGAAGGACCCCCAAACUCUGUUUUACAACUGUAUCUCUGAGUCUAUUAUACAAAUAAGUUAAAACUUUCAACAACGGAUCUCUUGGUUCUGGCAUCGAUGAAGAACGCAGCGAAAUGCGAUAAGUAAUGUGAAUUGCAGAAUUCAGUGAAUCAUCGAAUCUUUGAACGCACAUUGCGCCUAAUAGUAUUCUGUUAGGCAUGCCUGUUCGAGCGUCAUUUCAACCCCCAAGCCCUAUUUGCUUGACGUUGGGAGCUUACGGAGACGUAACUCCUCAAAUAUAGUGGCGGAGCUAGUUCGUGCUCUAAGCGUAGUAAUCAUACCCUCGCUUCUGCAGCCGGCCUAGGUCCUGCCGUAAAACCCCCUAUAUUUUUUACUGGUUGACCUCGGAUCAGGUAGGAAUACCCGCUGAACUUAAGC
rnacentral:rRNA from 1 species